GACGAACGCUGGCGGCGUGCUUAACACAUGCAGGUCGAACGGAAAGGCCCUGCUUUUGUGGGGUGCUCGAGUGGCGAACGGGUGAGUAACACGUGAGUAACCUGCCCUUGACUUUGGGAUAACUUCAGGAAACUGGGGCUAAUACCGGAUAGGAGCUCCUGCUGCAUGGUGGGGGUUGGAAAGUUUCGGCGGUUGGGGAUGGACUCGCGGCUUAUCAGCUUGUUGGUGGGGUAGUGGCUUACCAAGGCUUUGACGGGUAGCCGGCCUGAGAGGGUGACCGGCCACAUUGGGACUGAGAUACGGCCCAGACUCAUACGGGAGGCAGCAGUGGGGAAUAUUGCACAAUGGGCGGAAGCCUGAUGCAGCAACGCCGCGUGCGGGAUGACGGCCUUCGGGUUGUAAACCGCUUUCGCCUGUGACGAAGCGUGAGUGACGGUAAUGGGUAAAGAAGCACCGGCUAACUACGUG
rnacentral:rRNA from 1 species